UUCGAUUGCUGUUGAGAUGCCCUUUCCAA
rnacentral:sRNA from 1 species